CAGUGAGUCAGUCCGUUUAAAUGAAAUAUUUGACAGUGGUAAUUUCCCUAAAACAUGGAGUAAAAGUAUAAUAUGUCCUUUUUGUAAAUCUGGCUGUAAAGAUGACCCCAAUAAUUAUAGAGGCAUGUCCCUCAUUGGGUGUCCUCUCACUUAGACAGAUUCUGUCAAAACUGGUCUCUCGCAUAGCCAUAGUGGGAUUUGGCUGACUAGGGUUAGUGUUUUGAUAACACUUAGUCCAGAUGAGCCAUAGUUUGUUUCAACAAAAUGCUCAAUUAGUGAGAUUAGUGAAAUUUGUAUUAAAGGUGAGAUACAUGUACAUUCAUAUGGUAUUAUUUGAAUUUUUUGGAGAAUUUGAGGCUUCAGUGGCUAGUGCUAAUUACCUGGCUCGCAUCUCUCACCUAGUCAUAGUGCAAUGUUGUCUUAACAAGACCUGUUUGGUUAGACUCUGACUAAGUGAGAGUGAACCCCUCAUUGACUCUAUUUGGAAAAUAUUUGCUUCUAUUUUGAACAAACGCCUUCAGAAAUGGUGUGAUAUUUAUGAAAUUAUUAUAUAUAUAUAUAUAUAUAUAUUAUGUACAAAUUAGAAUUCAAGGGCAGACCAUUUUUAUAAAUUCAUGUCUGCCAUUCAUGUGAUGUGUUAUCCUGCAUGUGACUGUAUCAUGGGCCAGUGGGCUUUUAAUGAAUAAAACUGUCUGUCUGUC